rnacentral:lncRNA from 1 species
CGGGGUUUCACCGUGUUAGCCAGGAUGGUCUCGAUCUCCUGACCUCGUGAUCCGCCAGCCUCGGCCUCCCAAAAAGCUGGAAUUACAGGCGUGAGCCACCGCACCCGGUCUGGAAACUUUCUUAAAUCAUGAGUGGUGGUUAUUUAAUGGGUAUUUGAUAGAGGACCACGCGUUGCAUUUGGCGGUAAACUUUAACCCCUAAGGUCCCAGGGCGCUGAAACAAUCUGGGCAGGAGAGAAGGUCACGGACAUCUUCUUCUGCAGUCUAAAAACGCGGAAAGGCUGCGAAGUCGCUUUCAGGCGCUGAGCGGAGGUCUGCGGGAAAUGUGGUUUCGGACGCGUCUCCUGGGCUCCGUCUGUCUUUUCCCCUACCUUCUUCCUGCGCGGUGGGGUGCAGAGUAUCUCAGAGGCUCCUGGUUCCCCACAGAUGUAGAGGGUCCGCACCCCAGGGGAGAGCGCGGGGGUGAUGGGGCGUCUGCGCGGCGGGGACCAGCGUGGAGUGCUCGGCUUGUGCCUGGGGAGAAGGGAGCGAGAAGUCUCGGGAGCCCCCCAACAUCUGGCGGGACUCCCCAGCGCUGGAGCCCAGCCCGGGCCUGUGCAGCUGGCCUUGCGGGCUCCUGAAGCGCGGGUGGGGUGGGGCGCGUGUCAGGGGCAGGGGCUUGGUGCCGUCCCGGGGGUGCGGGAGCGUGAGCCGGGCCCACCCUGCAGCCCAACCUGAGAAAAGCCCAUGCUGGCGGCGGUAGGGGUAAGCGCGUUUCUGAUGCCGGCAACGAACGUGCCAGACGCCAGGGCGCUUGGAUCUGCGGCGAGCCCCCGAGCUCUGGAGCCCUGGAGCCCUGG